CUCGGAAUCAUUGGGCGUAAAGCGCACGUAGGCGGUCUGUUAUGUCGGAUGUGAAAGCCCUCGGCUUAACUGAGGAAGUGCAUCCGAAACUGGCAGGCUAGAGUACCAAAGAGGGUCGCGGAAUUCCCGGUGUAGAGGUGAAAUUCGUAGAUAUCGGGAGGAACACCGGUGGCGAAGGCGGCGACCUGGGUGGAUACUGACGCUGAGGUGCGAAAGCGUGGGGAGCAAACAGG
rnacentral:rRNA from 1 species